UGAGCACCAGGGCAAGUACAUGGCUUCUGUAGUAAAAAGGCUUGUUCAGUCUUGAGGAGUCACCAAUUUGAACCUUCCUUGUCUGUGUCUAUUACUUAAGACGAGUUUGUGCAUUAUUCUUUGCUACUCUCUGCUUAUCUCCCACUGGUCCUCAUUGGAUUAUUUGUAUAGGAGUCUCAACACUAGCGCCAGUAAAUUAUAAUAAGAAGGCUGUGAUAUGUUAUUCGUUUGUAUUCCUA
rnacentral:misc_RNA from 1 species